rnacentral:rRNA from 1 species
AGUGAACGCUGGCGGCAGGCCUAACACAUGCAAGUCGGACGGUAGCACAGAGGAGCUUGCUCCUUGGGUGACGAGUGGCGGACGGGUGAGUAAUGUCUGGGGAUCUGCCCGAUAGAGGGGGAUAACCACUGGAAACGGUGGCUAAUACCGCAUAACGUCGCAAGACCAAAGAGGGGGACCUUCGGGCCUUUCACUAUCGGAUGAACCCAUAUGGGAUUAGCUAGUAGGCGGGGUAAUGGCCCACCUAGGCGACGGUCCCUAGCUGGUCUGAGAGGAUGACCAGCCACGCUGGAACUGAGACACGGUCCAGACUCCUACGGGAGGCAGCAGUGGGGAAUAUUGCACAAUGGGCGCAAGCCUGAUGCAGCCAUGCCGCGUGUAUGAAGAAGGCCUUCGGGUUGUAAAGUACUUUCAGCGGGGAGGAAGGCGAUGCGGUUAAUAACCGCAUCGAUUGACGUUACCCGCAGAAGAAGCACCGGCUAACUCCGUGCCAGCAGCCGCCGUAA